rnacentral:rRNA from 1 species
AACGAACGCUGGCGGCAGGCUUAACACAUGCAAGUCGAACGCAUCCUUCGGGGCGAGUGGCAGACGGGUGAGUAGCGCGUGGGAACGUGCCCUUCAGUUCGGGAUAACCCAGGGCAACUUGGGCUAAUACUGGCGACGUGCCAGAGCAGCAAGAUUUAUCGCUGAAGGAGCGGCCCGCGUCUGACUAGCUAGUUGGUUGGGUAAUUGCCCACCAAGGCAACGAUCAGUAGCUGGUCUGAGAGGAUGAGCAGCCCACAUUGGGACCGAGACACGGCCCAAACUCCUACGGGAGGCAGCAGUGGGGAAUAUUGGACAAUGGGCGCAAGCCUGAUCCAGCCAUGCCGCGUGAGUGAUGAAGGCCUUAGGGUUGUAAAGCUCUUUCGUCCGGGACGAUAAUGACGGUACCGGAAGAAGAAGCCCCGGCUAACUUCGUGCCAGCCGCCGCAGUAAAAC